rnacentral:lncRNA from 10 species
GGGGGGCUGGGCAGGGAGGGGGCGGGGUCUGGGCAGGGAGGGGGCAGGGCCCUGGCCCAAGAACCCAUGUCCCUCUGUACCAGUUUCCCAGGGCUGCCAUAACAAAUCACCACGAACCUAGUGACUUAACACAAGUUCAUGCUGUGGCUCUGGAGGUCAGAAGUUCACGUCAGGGCUCUGGCUGGGCUGCGUUUUCUUGGGAGAGAAUCCACCCCCGCCCUCUCAGCUUCAAGAGGCCACCUGCUCUCCUUGGCUCAUGGCCCUUCCUCCACCUUCGAAGCCGCUCCAACCACUGCUCCCUCACCAGCUUCCCGAGUCAGCUCUCCCUCGGCCUCCUUCUUACAGGGAUCCUGUGACCACAGUUAGGACUCGCCUGGAGAAUCCGGAGCCAUCUCCCAUCUCAGAUCCUCCGCUUCCUCAUGGCUGCAAAGUCCCUUUUGCCAUAGAAGGCACAUUCACAGGCUUGAGGAUUUGAACCUGGGUCUCCCCGCCAUCAAAACUGACCAAGACCAGGGUGCAGUGCCUGACUCACUCAUGGGACAAACCCUAACCACGCCUCCCUCCUGACUCAACUCAUGGGACAGACCCUAACCACGCCUCCCUCCUGACUCAACUCAUCGGACAAACCUUAACCACGCCUCCCUCCUGACUCAACUCAUGGGACAGACCCUAACCACACCUCCCUCCUGACUCAACUCAUCGGACAAACCCUAACCACGCCUCCCUCCUGACUCAACUCAUGGGACAAACCCUAACCACGCCUCCCUCCUGACUCAACUCAUGGGACAGACCCUAACCACACCUCCCUCCUGGCUCAACUCAUCGGACAAACCUUAACCACGCCUCCCUCCACCAUGAGCUCUGGCCACUCCCACAUAAGGACACACGAGGACACAAGGGGCGUCUGACACCCCCGGGACUGGGCCCCCAACCUCUGCCCGCCAGCCAUUCGGGGACAGGUGGACUCAGAUACGUGGGUGGGGGAGACCUGGGUGUGGCAGAGCCGAGGGAGUGCAGGAGAGACCGUGAGAGCAGGACUCUGCCUAGCACCCUGGAGAUCCUCCCCAGAACCCACCAGAUCCAUCCCUUUCCUCCUCCUUAGGGACUGGGGCCAGCAGGCACUGCUCCGGCACCCACUCUCUGGAGGAUGGAGCCAACGUUGCCUUGGAAACGGGCAUCCAGGAGUGGAGUUCAUUCCUAACACGUUCGGCUUUUUGUCUCUUAAUUCAUUGGACUUAAUAAUGACGUCUGCGCAGAGGAGGAGCAGGGGAGGAGGCGGCUGGAGAAGCUCGCCUCCGAGGCCAACUCUCCCUCAGCCCUGCCUCUGCCCCUGGUGAUCCUCUGAGCCCAGGAUCCGGUGACUCAGUGGUGUCCCCAGCAGGCUCUGGAAUGCACUGCAAGUCACACCACGCCCUGGGCAAAAGCCAGCUCCCCCUUCCCCUUCUCUCCCCUCUGGGCUCUGAAGGCCACAGGUCAGCCUCCCCUGGAGCCCUGGCUUGCGCAGCCACCGCUCUGCCUUGACCCUGCAGCGCCUCAGGCUCCUGCCCCCUGCCUCAGGCUAGGGAGCCCAGGAACCCAGGGAAAGGGAACCCUGCCACGCCCCUCCCCGAAACCUCUCGCAGCUUCUAACUCCCCGGGCCUUGGCUCCGGACCACUGCUUCAGGAAACACAAACUCCACCUCCCCGUGAAGAGACCCAGCAUCUGAGAAACAAGAUGAAGGGAAGGGGGCAAAACCUCGGCUGGAUGUCAUCCUACCAAAGGCGUGGCGGCGUCCUUCCUCCCUGGCCCUCAGCCCUUCCCGGAGCUCCGGGGCCAGCAGGGGCAUCCAGCACUCCGAGUGGGAGGGGAAGCCUCUCGGCGCCUGAGCCGGUCAGCCCGAGGUCUGGAUCAGGCCCCAGUGCUUUCAGUAGCAAGCGUCCAUGUGGGUUCCCCAGGGACCAUCGCCUGAGCACUUUGGCAGCUCCGAGUGGCAGCCACGCCUUCCAGGUCCCGGGUGAGAAGGCCCUGCAGCUCUCCGCCGUGCUCUGUGCACACGUCACCAUCUACUCAGCAAGCCCCUGGUGUUCCUGGCGGCAUGAAGGUGUCACGGCCCUUCCAACAGAGCGACUCCAUCCUGAAUAGGGGCUGAGUGAAAUGAGGCUGAGACCAGCUGGGUUCCAGGACCUUGGGCGUUCAGUCACCAGAUAUUACAGUUAAGGGAACAAGUGAAUAAUGUUUACCAAAAAGACCCAGGAAAUAAUGUCCUGAUGUCCGAUCUCUUAGGAACAAAAGCAUUCUUAGCUUAAGAAUGAGUUUCGCUUUGAACAUAGUAACAUAGAUUCUUGCUAGACAGUAGUUACACAAAGAUAAACAAUCCUUUGUCAGGAGCCCCGGCAGCGGAGCAACCUCCCCCGUGAUUUUUUGGCUUUCUUGUCUCACAUAGAAACUCCCACUACACCUGAGGUGGGCCCCUUCCUCCUCUUGCUUUCAGGAACUCCCUGCUCUGUCUACAGAGUAGCCAUUGUUUUAUUCCUUUACUUUCUCAAUAAACUUGCUUUCUGUGGAUUCAACCUGAAUUAUUUCUUGCACAAGAUCCAAGAACCCUCUCUUAGGGUCUAGAUUGGGACCCCUUUCUGGUAACUAAGGUAACUGGCAAACCAACCUACAACCUGGGAACCCUGGGACCCAGGAGCCCCAGUGGUCAGGCCCUUCCUUUCCUUGAGGCUCUGGGGGCGCACCCCAGGGCUGGUGCUGGCAUCCUCGCUCCUUCAGGAUCCUUGGAGUCAGUUUUCCCUGGAACUUGCCC